GGUUCCAGUCCUCUGUGCAUGUCGGGAACGUGCGUCAGACGGCCAUUAUCGAGGGUAUAAUGUCUCCGAACAACGUGCUGAGGGCGGGCGAGGGGGCCUCCGUGCUGUUCAGGUUCGCCCGCUGUCCGGAGUACCUCGUGCGGGGCCGCCGGCUGCUGUUCACGGCGGGGCUGGGGACCAGAGCCAUCGGCCGGGUCACGCAAACCUUCCCGUACAUACCAUGAAUUCUAUAGAACACGGCUCCAAUGUAAAAUUCGAGAUCUCUCUAGAAUAUUCUAGAUAAAUUAAAUAUAUUAAUUGUAUCUGUAACCAGUUUUCUUGUCGUGUUCACUUCAU